rnacentral:rRNA from 1 species
ACUCAAAACUCAAAGGACUUGACGGUGUUCCAAACCAACCUAGAGGAGCCUGUCCUAUAAUCGAUAAUCCACGCUACACCUCACCCCCUCUCGAAAUCAGUCUGUAUACCGCCGUCUUUCAGUUCGCCUUAUGACAGACCCAUAGCGAACACAACAGCCCAUCACUCAAACGUCAGGUCAAGGUGCAACUAAUGAGGGGGCAGCGAUGGGCUACAUUUUCUAUAACAGAACACCACUAUCCACCACAUGAAACAUAGGCCACAAGGCGGAUUUAGCAGUAAGCCAAACA